rnacentral:snoRNA from 1 species
CGGGCUCGACCGCCGCGUCUGCGGCAGUAUGACAGGCCCGCCCGCGGCCGAGUCUACA